ACUUAUUUCUUCACGUACUGUCUGGUCCUAAAUGCAUUAUAGAGAGGAGGGAUUAACUGCCAAUAUUGUUUACUUCCAUUUUGAAUGUGGCAGAGUCCUAGGGUUGCAGUGACACAGGCCAGAAGGUUGUUCCAUUUGCUCUUGUUUGUGUGUGUGUGGGGGGGGGACACAACCGAAGAAGCACAGCUGAUGCUAGGGAGAUUUUAGUUUGUCUGCAAACUUGUUACCGUUUGUGGAUUACCAGUUUACCGAAGGCGUAAACGUGAGUGGCCUUGUUUGUGGUGCAGCACUCAAGCAGGCAAACACAGCUAUUAUUGCAGUAACCAAGUGUAGUCUAGUAAUGUGGUUUGCUGGGCCAGUUGUACACCUAGUGUAGUCUGCUUCGCUGCUUGUGUAAAUUUGUGAAUGCGCUGCCUUAUUAAAUGUCUUUUUGACAAGAACACUCAUGGAACUCAAAAACGUGUCCAUAAGGCAUUGUGGUUAGAUGAAGCGUCACAAGGUGUCCAGCAUUGUUGCUGCCAGUGCACCUCUCCAGUAACCCUGUAAACUGCUGACAGCAAGAAGUUUGCGGACAAGCUAAAGCUUGACCGCAGAGAUUAAUGUGGCAUGACAGAAUGUACAUCUUUAAAUACUGAAUUGUUCCAUGAUAGCGGGGCUACUGGGAAAGAUAAGUUCAUAUUGUUAGAAUUGGUUUUGUUUGGGAAAUCUUGUGAAUGAGGCUUCAGGUAUUUCUCAUGCAAUAAACAUGUUGACAGACCUAAGUUGAAUUUAAUUGACUAAAUGCUGGUGUAAUGGGAAUAUCAAGAAUGUAUUCAAGGAGCAGUAGACUUUUGAAAAGAUUAAAGGGCAUUAGUUAGCUAUUCUUCAAGAAUUCCAGAUAGAUCGAGCAUAUAACAUUGUUGGUGUAACAAGAUUUGUACAUCAAAUUGGAAACGACAAAAGAAAGUUUUAGUGCUGAUAUGCAAGUGUGCGAUUAGCGUUAUUGAAUGGUUGUUCAGCAUGUAUAUUUCAUAAGAGGUUGCGAGUUGCAUGUAAUUCCGAUGUACCUGUGUGAUGUCACAGGGAUUGUAGGAAAUCUAUUUUGGGUCUGUUUGUGGUGCUUCAAGCAGUCGCAAGUUGUGUGCACUACUCGCCAGUUUUACUUUUGCGACUAUCUUGUGAGUUGUACAAGCUAUUUUAGAGAAGCUUGAUGUUCUAAUUCUUUUGUUUCUCAGCCUUCCCAUUUUUCUUAAUUUAGCUAUGCAUAAAAUUACUUUAAGAUUUCUGUUUAUCAAUGGAAUGUAUACUUCAGCUGUCAGUUCUGAUCUUUGUCAUUCUGAUUAUUUUCAGGAACUUGUUUCAAGACCAUAUGCAAUCCUCGAGAAUCAAGCAUAUCUUCAGCUGACUGUCAAUUUGUGUAGUAGUUGUGACACUUGAUGCGACAUCAGCAUAUUAUCAUUCUCAGAAUUCUACCUUUAUGCUAUAUCCACAGUGUACAGUCAGCAUCAAAUGUUGAAGAACUGUGGGAUCUGAAAAAAUGUUGAACUUCCGAGUGGUUUUAGACCAUAGCCAGUAAAACCGUACAGUACGAUAUGUUGCUCGCAGUCUACAUACUUGUAUGGGCUGAAAAGCAAAAUACCAGGCUGUGGAAAUGUUGAGCUUUUUCUCAAAUCAUUAUUGAGUAAGCUUUCAAUUGCCAACUGUGCAUUUGUUUAAAGGGUGCCCCAGCUAAAGUUAGCCAAGUGUUUGACGAAAGAAAAUAUUAAGAAGACACAUUGCAAGACGUGAUUUUAAGACCUACUGUUCUUGGUUGUCAAUUCUCUAACGACCGAACACCAUAGGUCUUAUAAUUGUAUCUUGCACCGUGUUUUUAAAUCUUUCUUUUUGUUGAACAGCUUGGCUAACGUUAGUUGAGACACACGGUACAUGUGCAAGCUUGCAUAGACAUUUUUAGCUGAUGCCCAUUCCUGCCAGAGCAGCAGCUGUAGGACAUUUUAUUUGGCAACAUGAACAAUGUUACCUUAAAUACCCAAGAUCAGAUUUCUGGCCAGAAGAUGAAGUACCUAUGGCCUAUAAACUGCCAGGUUUCACGGUAUCACUAUUCUUAAAUCAAGAUAAAUUGGGCAAUGUAAGAAUGCAUGUUUGUGUUUCUAACCUAGACCCGAGGUAGCAUAGAUAGGACUGCCAGGUGUACAUGACUGUUCCCACUAGACCACUGGCUGAGGUCAGCUCAAAUUUCACACAAAGGUACCAUAGGUUACGUUAGGUUAGGUUUUAUUCAAGUGGGUGUCAUCUGUCGCAAUGCCAUAAAAAACUUUACAUUCUGCUGCAACGAAACCGUGGCACCAUCUGUCAUGGCCAGUCAAGACUUCAAUGAAAACUCUGUGUUCAACGUAGCCGGGACAGAUGGCGCCACCAUUUCGUUGGUGUUAGUGUGCCUCGAUGUCAGAGACGUGGUAUUGAGGCACCUUAGUUGCGGUGGAAUCGGCAUGUUUUGAGUUCCGCCACCCACUUGCAUGGCACCAACUUCGGACUUAUUGUGCAUGAAAUUGCCAAGUAAUGCCCCAAGAACAUUGUAAUAAACUAAACUUCAUGUAAAGUGGUACCUGAAUAAGGCAAAUCAAUUCUCCAAAAGCCUGCAAGGUGAAGGAAGUAUGGGUCACAAUUUUUUCUCUCACAAAGUGGUGCGUUUGUGUGAAACUUGAGCCGACAUCAGCAAGCGGUUUAGCUGAAAGAGUCAUGUUUACCUGGCACUCCUAUCCAUGCCACACUCCGACACUCGGUACAAGCUGCGUUUAUUCUGCACAUUGAGUGUGCUAGCAAGUGCUGCUUAAUACCGAAGUAGUUAAGCAUGGUCACUGCUAAUAAAGGAAUUAUGAAUUCGUUAAACAAAUCAUUUUUUGCCGUAUGUUGACAUGUGAUGAAAAUAGGAUUAUGAUAGCUUGCAAUGUUUUCUUUUGCUCCAGCUUGCUCGUAAGGAUCCAUUUGAUCCUCUAGUACACUGAGCAGGGUGUGAACUUUAUGAAUCUAUUGCGUGUGUCACAGUUAGAGUGGCUAGCUAAAAGUCAUUUGAGGUAAAGAGGUCUUCAAUAAGUGUGUUCAUUACUGAAAUGUAAAGCAGCAGUGAAUUACCGGCUGCUUUAGUUCGGGCCUGUGAAUUGUGUGCCUUAUCAGUUGCUUUAUGAUCUUUGUACACUGUCCGAACUUUACGAUGAAAAAUGUGUUCUGUGGCAUUAUACCUCAUUUCCUUGAGUAAAGUACUAUGUACAGCCUCCCGCAUUUCUAGCUAUAUCGCGCGAGCGUCCAGCACGCGUCAUUUCAGCGCCUUUCAGCGCCGAUAAUCAGCGAGACCAGCAGAAGUACUCUCAAGUGCACUAAGCACUCUCCUAUGCAAGAGCCAUCUAAUGCGAUGUUCCCUUCAGGACGACGUACAGCCAUAUUAUAGCAUUCUUGCGCGAUAUAGCUAAAAAUGCGGGAGGCUGUACAUACACCUUAUAAAUUUUUGUACAGCUUGCACAUUCUCUAUUGUCUACUUACCCAUUUAUCCCUUGCAGGUGCCAUGUACACAACUGUACACGCCAGGAUAGUGUGAAUCAACAGCAAAAGCAUUGAUGAAAUGCUGCCUCACAAGCAUAGCCACGGACCUCUGCCCACAAGAACAACAUCGGAGGUGUUCCUUCUGGAACCUGGUCCUCACCAGCCUGCAGAGUCGUCACUCAGUUGUAGCAUUCUUCCAUCUGGAGACAUUUAUGUCAGCCUCCUGCCUGCUGACAGCGAUCCACUGGCUAAAUUAGUGGCUUCUGGCAGAGCUACCAUAGGGGAGCCCAGUGCAGACAGUCGUGCCAUAGGGCCAAGCACAUCCGCACAGUCUCGCAAGGUAACUUCAGGUUCGUCAACUGAAGGUCAUCGUGCAGCUGCAGGUACGGCGUCACGCAUUACUGACAACUUAGAUGUCAAACUGUGCGCUGAGAACAGUGGCAAAGAGAAAGAACAGUCAUGCAGCAUCCUACCACCUAGAGACACUUACCUCUACCUCCUAGGCGAUGGCAACGACCCACUGGCUAAAUUACUGCCUUCUGGUGGAGCCAUAAUAGAAGACUCCAGCAUAGACAGUCUCACCACGGUGUCACACGCGACUGAACUUUCUUGUGAGGCAACUUUAGGUUCGGCGACUGGAGGAGUUCAUUCUCCAGCCAUAGACAGCGCAUCGCACAUUGCUGACAACUCCGGCGUCGAAUCGUGCUGCUGAGAAGUGUGCGAAUUUCGAUGAGCAUUCCUACUGCGGCAGGCGGGGCACUUUGCUUCAGAGGCAGGAAAAGUAUUUCUGCCACCUGUGCCCGUUUACGACCAGGUAUCCAAG